rnacentral:rRNA from 1 species
GUGGGGAAUUUUUCCACAAUGGGCGAAAGCCUGACGGAGCAAUGCCGCGUGGAGGUGGAAGGCCUACGGGUCGUCAACUUCUUUUCUCGGAGAAGAAACAAUGACGGUAUCUGAGGAAUAAGCAUCGGCUAACUCUGUGCCAG